GGGGUGACUCCGCGAUGCUGUCGGACCCCCGACCUGGCAGCAUCGCGGAGCUUGCCA
rfam:Actinopolyspora erythraea strain YIM90600 genomic scaffold Scaffold1, whole genome shotgun sequence.